rnacentral:rRNA from 1 species
UACGGAGGGGGCUAGCGUUGUUCGGAAUUACUGGGCGUAAAGCGCACGUAGGCGGCUUUGCAAGUCAGAGGUGAAAGCCCGGGGCUCAACCCCGGAAUAGCCUUUGAGACUGCAUCGCUAGAAUUGUGGAGAGGUAAGUGGAAUUCCGAGUGUAGAGGUGAAAUUCGUAGAUAUUAGGAAGAACACCAGUGGCGAAGGCGGCUCACUGGCCCGGAACUGACGCUGAUGUGCGAAAGCGUGGGGAGCAAACAGG